AGCACAGCCAUGAACGCGGCUUGACUGUUUUGUAUUGGGUUUAUCCACCUUAACGUUUGAAGGCGGUUCGUCCGUCGCCCGCUCGGCUAGUUCUGAAAAUAUUACAGAGAAACUCAAGUGAUUGUAUUGAACUACUAGUAUCCUCACAUCGCUAUGUUCUCCAUCAGUUCAAAUAAAUCUUUGGUACUCUUGCGGUUCUGCAGCAGGGCUGCUUGUCGGACGAGGACAAGUCGCGUCAAUUGUGAACAUCAGAACUAAGGACAUUCUUGAUGAAGAUGAACGCAAAACGUGUAUGCGGGCCCAUGGAAUCGCUGCUGCUUGCCUUGUUAUCUUUCUCCCUUGUUCGAGGUCACACUACUAGCCGACCAGGUGCGAAUCCGGCGGAGGGCAAUGGUGCUGGGUUCAGUGUCGGCGGUCUGAAGUCGGUCCUGGAGAACACUGUGUCCCCUGCCUUCGGUGCCACCAUCAUCAUCAUCAUCACCGUUAUUGUGUCGGGGAGCGCCUAUCUCUGUUUCCUGAAGUACGUCUGUACGGGCUGCUGCAAAGCCACUCAGGUGGCUCCAGUCACACACCUGGACCCUAACAAGAGUGAAGAACAGGUGUAGUGUGUAACGGGUGUAGUGAGGGACAGGUAUAGUGAGGGACAGGUGUAGUGAGGGACAGGUGUAGUGAGGGACGGGUGUAGUGAGGGACAGGUGUAGUGAGGGACGGCUGUAGUGAGGGACAGGUGUAGUUUGGUACAGGUGUAGUGUGUAAUGAGGCGUAGUGUGUAACGGGUGUAGUGUGGGACGGGUGUAGUGUGGGACGGGUGUAGUGUGGGACGGGUGUAGUGUGUAACGGGUGUAGUGUGUAACGGGUGUAGUGUGUAACGGGUGUAGUGAGGGACGGGUGUAGUGUGUAACGGGUGUAGUGUGUAACGGGUGUAGUGUAGGGACGGGUGUAGUGUGUAACGGGUGUAGUGAGGGACGGGUGUAGUGUGUAACGGGUGUAGUGAGGGACGGGUGUAGUGAGGGACGGGUGUAGUGAGGGACGGGUGUAUUGUAGGGAGGUGUGUGGAAUACUGACCUCAUUCUGGACCAUUCUUUCCCUGGCAUUUCAGCACUUGAUGGAAUCCUUCAGUUCAUCUCUUUCAUGUUUAAUGACUGUGAACACGAGUGAUUUAUUGAGCUCAUUGAAGAGUUGUGUGUGUAAGUGAUUACUGUUCUGAUCUUUGCCCGCCACCAACACCUCCCAUCCAAGAGACCCUCAGAGAGACAGACGGAUGUGAUUCAAAAAGAAAGGCUGCAAAAUGAUCACACACAGACAAUAGAAAAUUAAGUGGCUCAACCAAGCCUGACAUUAAUUGAGUAAACUGCCUGUGAGCCUUUGUGUCUGCAGUGGCUUAUGCAUUUGUGUGAUUAUUAAUGUGUGUUUUAUUUGUGUGGGUUUGAGUAUCUAAGUGAGUGUGUGUUUGUUUCCAAAGGGAGCAACCUGCUAUGACUGAUGUGAGAAAGUAGGAACACGUAAUUUCUGGGGAUUUCGAAACCUCACCUCCCUUUUCUGUUUUUCUUUACCUGAUCAUCUCUCUUAUUACAUUUCUUCUUUCUUCCUCCUUAUGAUACAGUACAUAAUCACACCAGAACCAAUUACAGUGCCAAGUCACCAAACAAUAGACAUUUUCAUUUAUGCUGAUUGUCUCCAUGCAAAGCUGCGUGAAGAGAAGCCAAUUGUACUUCCUUAAUCACAACAGAGACACUGUAUCAAACUAAUUAUCCUCACCCACAGAAGCUUUCAACUCAGUUUUUUUUAUAAACUCAGCUUUUGCAGUGUUGCACAGCGCGUUAUUUUCUAAAUGUGUUUUUUUGUUGAAAAUGAGUGAUUAAAAUGUCUCCAUACCCAAUCCAUCCUAAGAGGAUUUAUCUGUGAUGUGUGCCAGAAUGAAAGAUCGAAAGUGACAGGA
ensembl:lncRNA